ensembl:lncRNA
UUGUGUGAAGUUGGAGUGCUGUUGCUCUGGGCGAGCUUUGGAGCAAAGAACAAUUUAAUGUAGAAUCUUAUGGCCAAAUACUGACGGGGAGAUAGAAAGAUGCCUAAAUUUCAUUUACCUGCCACAAAGCUGACUGUAUUAUAUGAUUAACAACAAUAACAACAAAAAUUGUCUGACAUGCUGUGUGCUCUGACAGAACUGAAACCUGCAAGGGAAAGAUGUGUGGAAAAGCAGAGUUUUAUGUUUAGGUUUGUCAGUGGAUAAAGAACCUUAAUGAAAAGCUUAUUCCAGAGACUUGUGACUACCCCACUGUCUGUGUUGUCAGCACAACCCCGUGGGAAUGCUCUCAGGUUUUGGUCCUAAGCAGAGCAGAACUGAUCCUCUGAGGAAACAACUAAGAAAGGAAAGCAGACAUGAUGCUGCAGCAAUACUUGGAGAUGUCAUUAUCUGUGUGCAAUUAAGUGGUAUGAAUAUUUAUCACGGGGGUGGAAAUUGCAUGUUCUGUAGCUCCAAAACCAGUGGCACACAUCUGAAUUUUGCAUACACUUUCAUAAGAGACUUUCAUGCAUAAGUGGAGCAGAGCUCUCCACACCUUCAAAUCAGAUUUCUCAUUUGUAUUCACUAUAUAAAUACCACAUAGAAAUUUGGACACAGCUGUCUCAUGGUCAUUUGAUUCAGCCAUUCUUAUGACCUGGAACAGUACAAACAAAUGAAGACACAAAAUUAGUUGUAGUCACACCACAGUUUGAGCACAGGGUAGUUACAAUAACUCCACUAAAUUGUUCUGGAUCCAGAGCAACAACAUUAUAUUACUUACCUUACAUUCUGAUGAAUAUCUUAUAUUUUUAUGAUCUGUUUUUGCUAAUAAUCGUGGUAUUUUGUUUUCAUAACGUUUGUAGUCAGUUGCUUGGCUAUAUGAUCUUGGGUGUCGUCUCUACAGUUGACUAGGAGGUACAAUUCCUGAUUUAUUCUGAGAAUCUGAGCCACUUUUCAGUACCACUCCAUCUCAGGAAACAUUUUUUCCAGAGACUCCAAGGAGUAUAUAGAGUGGCAGAGACUGCUAAGAAGCAUAAUUUAUCUUUUUGUUAGAGGAGUUGGCAAAGGAUCCAGUCCAUUCUAUGAAAAAUGUAAACAUUUCAAAUUUUCUUUUUGGUCCCACUUGGGCAAAAUAACACUUUGGAGUGGCCCACAAAAAUAUCAGAAAGACCUUACAAAACUGAUAUGCCAGUACAUGUCAUUUUCAUUCCUCCUAUCUACAGAAAUCCACCAGGUGCUUUGCAUGCACAUUUAUGGUUUUUUUAGAGAAAGAAUCAAAUGGUUAUUUACAUUCAUGUGAAAUGUUUUCAUUUCCCUGAAUCACCACGUUCUAACAGAAUAGUUUUCUAACAGAAAAUUCUCAACAAUUUUUACUCUUUGUUCCCAAAUACUCCUUAUCAGUGUUUAUUGAACAUUCUUGUCCCGUACACCUUUGGAAAUCCUAUUAUUUUUCUUGGUCUGGUACUUGGUUAUGAUUUAGGAUGUUUUUCUAGCUCACACAGCUUACCAACUCAAACACUGUGAAAAAUAUGUUGUUUGAACCAGUCUGAAUCUCUGGAUUUCUAAUCCUGUUGGUUGAGUGUAUUGCACUUUCUUUCUCUAAGCCUCUCUCACACUUCAUUUGGUAGCAAGGCAAUAGCAUUCCUUUUUAAGCAAUUAGAAAUUAAUCACAAAUUUUGUAUACUUAUUGUCGGUUAAUUACCUGUUGAUAUUGCACAAGCAUGAAAAGGCCAGUUCUAACAAUAUUCACCAGAAAGUCAUGUUGAAUAGUUAACAAGAUACAAGAAAAACUUCUACUGCUGUUCUGUGGUCUUUGUCCAGUCUUUGCUGUCAAGUAUUUUCCAAUACCAAGUCUUGGUUGUUAGAUUAAAAAACAGACCUUGCUGUUGCUUCUCCCCC